GGGUGAUUAGCUCAGCUGGGAGAGCAUUUGCCUUACAAGCAGAGGGUCGGCGGUUCGAUCCCGUCAUCACCCACCA
rnacentral:tRNA from 1 species